CCUACGGGAGGCAGCAGUGAGGAAUAUUGGUCAAUGGACGCAAGUCUGAACCAGCCAUGCCGCGUGCAGGAAGACGGCUCUAUGAGUUGUAAACUGCUUUUGUACGAGGGUAAACCUAGAUACGCGUAUUUCUCUGAAAGUACUGUACGAAUAAGGAUCGGCUAACUCCGUGCCAGCAGCCGCGGUAAUACGGAGGAUCCAAGCGUUAUCCGGAUUUAUUGGGUUUAAAGGGUGCGUAGGCGGGGGGAUAAGUUAGAGGUGAAAUGCCGGGGCUCAACUCGGGAAUUGCCUCUAAUACUGUUGGGCUAGAGAGUAGUUGCGGUAGGCGGAAUGUAUGGUGUAGCGGUGAAAUGCUUAGAGAUCAUACAGAACACCGAUUGCGAAGGCAGCUUACCAAGCUACAUCUGACGUUGAGGCACGAAAGCGUGGGGAGCAAACAGGAUUAGAUACCCGAGUAGUC
rnacentral:rRNA from 1 species